UCAAGAGUGACGUUGUUUAUG
rnacentral:piRNA from 1 species